CGCGUAGGCGAUUUGACAUGUCGGUUGUGAAAGCCCAGAGCUUAACUUUGGAAGAGCAACCGAAACUGUUGAAUUUGAGUACAGGAGAGGAAGGCAGAAUUCCCGGUGUAGCGGUGAAAUGCGUAGAUAUCGGGAGGAAUACCAGUGGCGAAGGCGGCCUUCUGGACUGGUUACUGACGCUGAGGCGCGAAAGCUAGGGGAGCAAACG
rnacentral:rRNA from 1 species